AUCAGGUUCAAGUCCCCAUUCCUCCCACUCUCCCUACUAAAAAAAAGUACAAUUGACCAUGCAGUUUCUUCAACCUAGACUUCACAUAUUAAUUUGGCCUACACUUUUGUUCACUUUAUCCCCUAAUAAUUUCAGCAACAAAAUGAGAAUUGAAAGGCCUAAUUAUACUGGAAAGUUCAUAGAUGAAAUAACUGAAAAAUCACAUAUAUGGAUAUGCAGAACCCAUAGUCAUUAUAUAUACUCUGAUAGCCACUAUUUUUCAUUUUAUG
rnacentral:misc_RNA from 1 species